rnacentral:rRNA from 1 species
AGGAAUUUUCCACAAUGGGCGCAAGCCUGAUGGAGCAACGCCGCGUGCAGGAUGAAGGCCCUAGGGUUGUAAACUGCUUUUAUACGUGACGAAUAUGACGGUAGCGUAUGAAUAAGGAUCGGCUAACUCCGUGCCAGCAGCCGCGGUCAUACGGAGGAUCCAAGCGUUAUCCGGAUUUACUGGGCGUAAAGAGUUGCGUAGGUGGUGAUUUAAGCGAAUAGUGAAAUCUUGUGGCUCAACCAUAAGGCUAUUGUUCGAACUGAAUCACUCGAGAACGAGAGAGGUGGCUGGAAUUCCCUGUGUAGGAGUGAAAUCCGUAGAUAUAGGGAGGAACACCGAUGGCGUAGGCA